rnacentral:tRNA from 1 species
AUAAGUAAGGUUUAAAAAUAAAAUUAUUAGGCUUUGUCUUUUUAAAAUAUAUUUUGUUAAUA